rnacentral:rRNA from 1 species
UACCAGCUCUCCGAGUGGUGUGGAUGUUUAUUGGGCCUAAAGCAUCCGUAGCUGGCUGGGCAAGUCCCCUGUUAAAUCCACCGAUUUAAUCGUUGGUGUGCGGGGGAUACUGUUCGGCUAGGGGACGGGAGAGGCCGACGGUAUUUUCGGGGUAGGGGUGAAAUCCUAUAAUCCCGGGAAGACCACCAGUGGCGAAGGCUGUCGGCUAGAACGCGCCCGACGGUGAGGGAUGAAAGCUGGGGGAGCGAACCGGAUUAGAUACCCGGGGUAGUCCCAGCUGUAAACGAUGCAGGCUAGGUGUUUGGGCGGCCACGUGCCGCUCUAGUGCCGCAGAGAAGUCGUUAAGCCUGCCGCCUGGGGAGUACGGCCGCAAGGCUGAAACUUAAAGGAAUUGGCGGGGGAGCACCACAAGGGGUGAAGCUUGCGGUUU